AUGGCAAUGAGGCCGCUCGUCGUCCUGGCUCUGGCCGUGGCGCUGGCCGGGGUGGCGCUGCGAGGGGGCGCCGCGGAGGGGGCCGGCGAGUGCGGGAGGUCCUCCCCCGACCGGAUGGCCCUGCGCAUGGCCCCGUGCAUCUCGGCGGCGGACGAGCCGGACUCGGCGCCCUCCAGCAGCUGCUGCUCGGCGGUGCACACCCUAGGGAAGAGCCCCAGCUGCCUGUGCGCCGUCAUGCUGUCCGGCACCGCCAAGAUGGCCGGGAUCAAGCCCGAGGUGGCCAUCACCAUCCCCAAGCGCUGCAACAUGGCCGACCGCCCCGUCGGCUACAAGUGCGGAGGUACCUACAAAGCACAUGCUCUCCUAUAUACUCCCUCCAUUCCGAAUUACUUGUCGCAGGUAUGGAUGUAUCUAGAUGUAUUUUAG
rnacentral:rRNA from 1 species